UCCUCGCGAUGCGGAGCAUAUGAGGACGGGAAACAACGAAAUAAAGUGUUUAAUCUUACGCACAAAAUGUGUUUUGUAAUAUCAUAUCGUUUUAUAACGAUAUUAAUGUGCUGUAUGCCGCUAAACGUUUCUCAAAGACAUUUGUUUCCACUCGCGAUGCGGAACAGACGAGAGCGCUGUGCAGUUAAUGUUACUAAUGAACUUUUUCUCAGGGAGAUAACGGUAUUUCCUUUCACUCGCGAUGCGGAGCAGACAGGACAGUUGGUUUUAUCAAGGAAAACACAGAAAAUAUUAAUUGCUAUGCAGUGCUGAGGUGGAGGUCGCUUUUAACAGGGAAACACUAGAAAGAGAUAUUUUCUUUCAAUCACAAUGCAGAGCAGACGGGAAAGUUGGUUUUAUCAAGGAAAAUGCCAAAAG